UAGGGAAUCUUCGGCAAUGGACGGAAGUCUGACCGAGCAACGCCGCGUGAGUGAAGAAGGUUUUCGGAUCGUAAAGCUCUGUUGUAAGAGAAGAACGAGUGUGAGAGUGGAAAGUUCACACUGUGACGGUAUCUUACCAGAAAGGGACGGCUAACUACGUGCCAGCAGCCGCGGUAAUACGUAGGUCCCGAGCGUUGUCCGGAUUUAUUGGGCGUAAAGCGAGCGCAGGCGGUUAGAUAAGUCUGAAGUUAAAGGCUGUGGCUUAACCAUAGUACGCUUUGGAAACUGUUUAACUUGAGUGCAAGAGGGGAGAGUGGAAUUCCAUGUGUAGCGGUGAAAUGCGUAGAUAUAUGGAGGAACACCGGUGGCGAAAGCGGCUCUCUGGCUUGUAACUGACGCUGAGGCUUGAAAGCGUGGGGAGCAAACAGGAUUAGAUACCCUGGUAGUCCACGCCGUAAACGAUGAGUGCUAGGUGUUAGACCCUUUCCGGGGUUUAGUGCCGUAGCUAACGCAUUAAGCACUCCGCCUGGGGAGUACGACCGCAAGGUUG
rnacentral:rRNA from 1 species